rnacentral:lncRNA from 1 species
GCCGAGCUGGGCACCCACGUCAUCGAGGUGCUGGCGUACAACCGGCACACCUACGAGACGGUGGCACAGCGCCUCGUCAUCACCGUCAUCCCUGCGCCAGGUGGGGACCCCCCGUACCAGGCUGAGUUCCUGGUGGGCAACAGGAACGUGGAGGAGCUGCUGCCGGCGG